AGAGUUUGAUCCUGGCUCAGGACGAACGCUGGCGGCGUGCUUAACACAUGCAAGUCGAACGAUGAAGCCCUUCGGGGUGGAUUAGUGGCGAACGGGUGAGUAACACGUGGGUAACCUGCCCUUGGCUUUGGGAUAAGCCCUGGAAACGGGGUCUAAUACCGGAUAUGACUACUUCACGCAUGUGGGGUGGUGGAAAGUUCCGGCGGCCAGGGAUGGGCCCGCGGCCUAUCAGCUUGUUGGUGGGGUGAUGGCCUACCAAGGCGACGACGGGUAGCCGGCCUGAGAGGGCGACCGGCCACACUGGGACUGAGACACGGCCCAGACUCCUACGGGAGGCAGCAGUGGGGAAUAUUGCACAAUGGGCGAAAGCCUGAUGCAGCGACGCCGCGUGAGGGAUGACGGCCUUCGGGUUGUAAACCUCUUUCGACAGGGACGAAGCGAGAGUGACGGUACCUGUAGAAGAAGCACCGGCUAACUACGUGCCAGCAGCCGCGGUAAUACGUAGGGUGCGAGCGUUGUCCGGAAUUAUUGGGCGUAAAGAGCUCGUAGGCGGUUUGUCGCGUCGACUGUGAAAACUGGGGGCUUAACUCUCAGCUUGCAGUCGAUACGGGCAGACUUGAGUUCGGUAGGGGAGACUGGAAUUCCUGGUGUAGCGGUGAAAUGCGCAGAUAUCAGGAGGAACACCGGUGGCGAAGGCGGGUCUCUGGGCCGAUACUGACGCUGAGGAGCGAAAGCGUGGGGAGCGAACAGGAUUAGAUACCCUGGUAGUCCACGCUGUAAACGUUGUAUACUAGGUGUUAGUGGCUUGUCCACUAGUGCCGCAGCAAACGCAUUAAGUAUACCGCCUGGGGAGUACGCCCGCAAGGGUGAAACUCAAAGGAAUUGACGG
rnacentral:rRNA from 1 species